rnacentral:tRNA from 1 species
CGGGGAGUAGCGCAGCCUGGUAGCGCAUCUGCUUUGGGAGCAGAGGGGCAAUGCUCAAUCAUUGGCGGCUUUCUGCGGUUUUUGAAAUAUUGACGGAACUGGUUCGGGACUAUUCCGGGACUCGGCUGCAAUCAUGGCCUGGCGCACGGCGUCCUCAUCCGUGUGGAAGUAGCGCUUCGUCGUCCUGAUAUCGCUAUGCCCGGCCAGCCGAUUGGCCGCCUCGA